GUACACGCUGUGACUAGCAUAUCAAUAAGCGGAGGAAAAGAAACUAACAAGGAUUCCCUCAGUAACGGCGAGUGAAGCGGGAAGAGCUCAAAUUUGAAAUCUUGAAAGGUCACCUUUCACGAAUUGUAGUUUAAAGAAGUGUUUUCUGUUACGAUCGUAAUAUAAGUUCUUUGGAAUAGGACAUCACAGAGGGUGAGAAUCCCGUCUAUGAUUGCGAUUUGUAGCUUUGUGAUACACUUUCAAAGAGUCGGGUUGUUUGGGAAUGCAGCCCAAAACGGGAGGUAAAUUUCUUCUAAGGCUAAAUAUUGGCGAGAGACCGAUAGCGAACAAGUACCGUGAGGGAAAUGAUGAAAAGAACUUUGAAAAGAGAGUUAAACUAGUACGUGAAAUUGUCAAAAGGGAAGCGUUUGACACCAGUGUUGUUUUCUCGAAAAUCAAUUAAAAAUGGCUCGAUUUUGUAUUGCUUGAGACCUUAAAAGCUCACUGUACAUUUUUCGUGUCUUUUUUAAUGCACUUUUCGUUUAACAAGUCAACAUCAGUUUCUUUUGUUGUAAAAGGGUCAUUGGAAGGUGGCUUUCUUUUCGGAGAAAGUGUUUAUAGCCUUUGGCCUCUGCAAUCGGAGAGACUGAGGUCUGCAGCGUAGACUCUUCGGGGUUAGAUACAUUUGUGCUAAGUUAUAGCUUUUUAUAGACAACUUGUUGACUAUAAUUAGUCCUUGUAGCUUACUCGCUUAUGCUAUUUUACCUACGCUUAGGAUGUUGAGUAGCGACAUACGCAC
rnacentral:rRNA from 1 species